GGAUGUGAGUGCGAUCUGGCUGCGACAUCUGUCACAUCACUGAUAGCCACGAUUGAUUUGGUUCAUCUGGCUGGCGAGGCGGGCAUCCCCUUCCUCCCUCGUCUUCUUCCUCCCUCACCGCUCCAUGUGUAUCCCUCCCAAAGCUGCACACUCGGUCAAAGAGGAUGACCUUCCCCAAUAGAAGAGGACCGUUCUCUGGUGAAGAGUAUAUGAGUAGCUGCACUCCCCUGCUAGAACCUCCAAACAAGCUCUCAAGGUCCAGUUCAGGUGCAGAAAAGUCAGAUAGAUUGAAUAAUGUAUCUAAUAAAUACCAAAAGAAGGGCCUGCUACAGGAGAUU
rnacentral:snRNA from 1 species